GCUACUGUAGCUCAGCUGGCAGAGCGAUUGAUUCGUAAUCAAUAGGUCGGGAGUUCGAGUCUCCCCAGUAGCU
rnacentral:tRNA from 1 species